AGUGAGAGCUUGGCAAAGAAGAGAUCUAGGCUAUCUGCUGCCUCAAAGCCUUCUGUUGUGGCGUAGAUUUUUCAUAUUGCUUUGAGUAAUGUUAUUUCUUAAAUAGGUUUGAGUUAAUUUUGAUUGGUCUUCAGAAUUUGGGAAUUAACUUAAAAUGUUUCUUGCAUUUAUAACAAUUUCAAACAUCUGCAAGUUUUGGUUUCAUUUUAAUAUGUCGUGGGAUUGUUAACCAUUUCAAAA
rnacentral:misc_RNA from 1 species